rnacentral:rRNA from 1 species
CAGCAGCACGGUAAUACAGAGGGUGCGAGCGUUAAUCGGAUUUACUGGGCGUAAAGCGUGCGUAGGCGGCUUUUUAAGUCGGAUGUGAAAUCCCUGAGCUUAACUUAGGAAUUGCAUUCGAUACUGGGAAGCUAGAGUAUGGGAGAGGAUGGUAGAAUUCCAGGUGUAGCGGUGAAAUGCGUAGAGAUCUGGAGGAAUACCGAUGGCGAAGGCAGCCAUCUGGCCUAAUACUGACGCUGAGGUACGAAAGCAUGGGGAGCAAACAGGAUUAGAUACCCGCGUAGUCCCUGUCUCUUAUACA